GAUGAGCUGGGAAAGUUUACGGAUAUUGAAAAUCAGGUCUUGUGCCGGCAGCAUGUUGAAGAGUUGGGACCAAAUAUUUGAUAUUGUUUAUACAAAAUGGGACAAUCAAACAUAGAGAGUUCUGAGCUUCUGGGCCUUAGCACUCAAGAAGGCCCAACGCUUGACCUUUUGCAGGCAAAAUUGGAAGUGGUUUCUUAAUAAGUGGAUUUCUACGUUGUCAUGAUAACUAAAAGGGAAAAUGGAAGGUUCCAUCGAUUGGCAAUCUUGAAUUCAAGGAUGAUCACGACCUCUAUGAAUACCCUGAUUGGAAAUAUAUUGGAAUUGGAUUAUGGCAGGUCAAAUCAGGAACGUUAUUUGAUAAUAUUUUAGUGUUUGAUGACCCUGAAUAUUCAAAGAAGUUAACAGAAGAGAUAUAGGGCAAAAAUAAAGAUGUGAGUCAAUCUUGUUGUUUUGAAAUCUUCUCUUGUAGAUAUUUAGUUGAUUGUAGA